UCAGUUCAGAUUGCAGGCUGCAACUCGCCUGCAUGAAGUCGGAAUUGCUAGUAAUCGUAGGUCAGCAUACUACGGUGAAUACGUUCCCGGGCCUUGUACACACCGCCCGUCAAACCAUGAGAGUUGGCAACACCCGAAGUCGGUAGUCUAACCGCAAGGAGGACGCCGCCGAAGGUGGGGUUGAUGAUUAGGGUUAAGUCGUAACAAGGUAUC
rnacentral:rRNA from 1 species